AGACCAUGAUGUGGAUAUGUUCUGAGUAUAUUUUUGAAUCUAUCCCAAGCUUCAUAUAAAGAUUCUGUAUUAACUUGCUUGAAGCUAGCAAUUAGAUUUUGCAUAU